GCAGGGUGUAAAGCCAUUUUCAUGCUGAAAAUGUCUGUUGCGGUUCUGUAAGGGGCAUUUUCAUUCCAAAGCAUUAUAAGACUGGGGAAAGCAGGAUUUGUAUUAGCUGUCCCUUGUUUUGCAUGGUGAAUAGGUAGAAGUGUCCAAAGAGGUUCCUCACUCCAAGUCAUUGCAAUGGAAAUGGUUGCGUUUUACCGAAAUGGCCCCCAUCCAAUCAUAAAUGGAAUUGCUCUUUAUUUUCUUUUCCAAAUCAAGUCAUUUUUUAAAUGGGCAAAAGAUGCUUUAGGGGAGCACAAACGUAUUUGGCUUUAGUAACAUAUUUCCACACUUGUUCAGGUGUGUAAACAAGCAUUAUGUCUUGCAGAACAAUUUGAUUUGGUGUUAUUUGGUGUGCAUGCUAUUGCAAUUGGGUUCCUUUGAUCUGCAAGCUGAUCCACUCCUCUCAAUCCAUGUUAUCUAUAAUAUUGUUCAUAAUUAUUUUUGAGAAGCCUGAUAUUGUAUAGUUUAUUUUUGAAUGCUUUGCAUUGUUUUGGUCUCAGAUAAUGUCUUUAUGCUUAUUUUCAUAUAACUGUAUAUUUUAUUUAGUUUUUUUGUUGUCCAUUUAUAAAUUAAUGUGACAAUGCCAGCUUUAAAUUGAAAUCUCAUCUAUUUGUUUUCUAUCAUUCUCUGGCCACUUUAUGGUGUUACAAUGUUCCUAUAUUUGUUUGUCUUGACACAGUUGUGUAUCUUUUGCUUCCAAAGUGUUCUCGUUUUUUAUAGGCUCUCGUGUGGGGAAGAAUCCCUCACAACUGUUUCAGCCAGCAUGGACUUUGUAUGUGUGAGCGUGAGUGUGUGCGUGCGUGUGUUUCAUAAGAGCCAGCAUCAGUCUGAGUUUUUAUACUUUGUAUUCUAUUUUCUACUUUCAUUUCACACCAAAACAUACUGAACUGCAAAGCCGAAUCUUCAGUAAAGGGUUUGAAAAGUCUGAUGUUCAACACAAUAAUUGUGUAACGUGGUGAAAGAGGAUACCGAAGCACUGAGCAGUUAUUAUUUUCAUUAAUUAUAUGAAUGUGGCCAAAGCUUAAUGCAGUCGAAAACAUGAAAAACUUUAGUUGGUGCCCCUGAUGAGUGUAUAUUUAUUGUGGUUAAUCCUACACGUGGCUGAGAUACAUCAACUCUCAUUGGGAUACUUGAUUUUUAUUUUAUUUUUUAUUUUUUUUUUGUGGACAUUUUGCAAAGAGAGAACGAAAACGGUUUUGCUGUAGAGGUCAUCCUUUUGCCCACUGUGAAAAUGAACAUGUAUACAGAUAUAGAUAUAUUUAAAGAAGACAUCAACACUUUUCUUUGAAAUGACAAAGAAGGAAAUAAAGAGAAACGAACUCUGGGGAAACUUGAGAGAUGUCAUUGAGAUGUCUGAGAAGGCUGUUGUUGACACACCAAAACUGGGCAUGGGAGCCAAAGGCAGGGCCGACACGUCCCAAUAUCAAGUCAUUAUUUAACUAACACUAUAUGCCGAUGGGAGUGGACUCUGCAACCAGUGGACAUAUGUGACACGGAGAGGAAUUUAUCUCCUUUUUCUCUCUCUGGUUCUGCAUCUACUUGGACAUUUUCUGCACUUCUGAACGGGACAGACUCAAACAUUCGCAUACGUUGUCUCCCAGUUCACGAUGUUGCUACCUGUUUCAUUUCUCCUGCCCGCUUCAGUGACUGACACGUGGUUCCACUCUGGCGUGGAGUCGACCGGAUCCAUCCAACCAUAAAGAGUGACUUUACUGUUCAAGGGGAGGGGAUUUUCCUGGGUGUCAUUCCUAAGGAAGCAGAUAAACACAAAAAAGCGAAUCAACCAAAAUUAAUAACCAAACUAACAAGCAACCAAAAAAAAAGAAACAAACAAAAAACAUUGGCUCCAGUUUCAUCGAUGAACUGCUGCUGGAGCUUCCUGUUCCUUUAGUGGCUACUGGUGCCACAGCAUUUUUGAUGCUUUUUGUGUUUCCUUUUGUUUCUCUCUUUUGUUCUCCUCAAAUUAUUCCUCCUCCUCCGAGCCUCACAAGCACGGCUCUGUGGCUCCAGGUAGCCCAUCCGAGGGUAGAACUUACAGCCUUGCAAUGUACAAAAAGAGCAAGUUAAACCAAAAAUGUUGUUCUUGAUGUCUUUUCUAUACUGUAGUCUUGUUAGCUUUUUGUUACUGUAAUUAUAUGAUGAAGAUUUCCAAACUGUACCAAAUUACAUGGAGACUAACAUACAUAAACCACAUGGACUUUUAAAGAGAACCUUUUGUCACAAAAACCUUGUUGUCCUAGUUAAGUUGAUUGUAGAUGGUAAUUGAAUAUACUCCUUUGAAAAUAUUUCAUCAAGUAUGUUUCUUGCUCAUUGUGAUACAUUAAAAAGUAUGAGCAUA
ensembl:lncRNA